rnacentral:lncRNA from 13 species
AUGAUCCUCCCUAGACUAGUCUACGACACAAUGAUCCUCCCUGGACUAGUCUACGACACAAUGAUCCUCCCUGGACUAGUCUACGACACAAUGAUCCUCCCUAGACUAGUCUACGACACAAUGAUCCUCCCUGGACUAGUCUACGACACAAUGAUCCUCCCUGGACUAGUCUACGACACAAUGAUCCUCCCUAGACUAGUCUCCGACACAAUGAUCCUCCCUNNNNNNNNNNNNNNNNNNNNNNNNNNNNNNNNNNNNNNNNNNNNNNNNNNNNNNNNNGCCUUACGGUCAGAUGCCCGGCAGUUGCCAUACCAGGCGGUGAUACAACCGGUCAGGAUGCUCUCGAUGGUGCAGCUGAAGAACCUUUUGAGGAUCUGAGGACCCAUGCCAAAUCUUUUCGGUCUCCUGAGGGGGAAAAGGUUUUGUCGUGCCCUCUUCACAACUGUCUUGGUAUGUUUAGACCAUGAUAGUUUGUUGGUGAUGUGGACACUAAGGAACUUGAAACUCUCGACCCGCUCCACUACAGCCAUGUCAAUGUUAAUGGGGGCCUGUUCGGCCCACCUUUUCCUCUAGUCCACCAACAGCUCCGUUGUCUUGCUCACAUUGAGGGAGAGGUUGUUGUCCUGGCACCACACUGCCAGUUCUCUGACCUCCUCCCUAUAGGCCGUCUCAUCAUUGUCGGUAAUUAGGCCUACCCACUUGUGUCGUCAGCAAACUUAAUGAUGGUGUUGGAGUCGUGUUUUGCCACGCAGUCAUGGGUGAACAGGGAAUACAGGAGGGGACUAAGUACACACCUCUGAGGGGCCCCAGUGUUAAGGAUCAGCAUGGCAGAUGUGUUGUUGCCUACUCUUACCACCUGAUGGCCUGUCAGGAAGUCCUGGAUCCAGUUGCUGAGGGAGGUGUUUAGUCCCAGGGUCCUCAGCUUAUUGAUGAGCUUUGAGGGCACUAUGGUGUUGAACGCUGAACUGUAGUCAAUGAAUAGCAUUCUCACAUAGGUGUUGCUUUUGUCCAGGUGAGAAAGGGCCGUGUGGAGUGCAAUAGAGAUUGCGUCAUCUGUGGAUCUGUUGGGGCGGUAUGUGAAUUGGAGUGGGUCUAGGGUGUCCGGGAGGAUGCUGUUGAUGUGAGACAUGACCAGCCUUUCAAAGCACUUCAUGGCUACCGAUGUGAGUGCCACGGGGCGGUAAUCAUUUAGGCAAGUUACCUUUGCUUUCUUGGGCACAGGGACUAUGGUGGUCUGCUUAAAACAUGUAGGUAUUACAGACUCGGUCAGGGAGAGGUUGAAAAUGUCAGUGAAGACACUCGACAGUUGGUCCGCGCAUUCUUUGAGUACACGUCCUGGUAAUCCGUCUGGCCCCGCGGUUUUGUGAAUGUUGACCUGUUUAAAGGUUUUGUUCACAUCGGCUGCCGAGAACGUUGUCACACAGUCAUUCAAAACAGCUGGUGCUCUCGUGCAUGAUUCAGUGUUGCUUGCCUCGAAGCGAGCAUAAAAGGCAUUUAGCUCGUCUGGUAGGCUCACAUCACUGGGCAGCUCGCGUCUGGGUUUCCCUUUGUAGUCCGUAAUAGUUUUCAAGCCCUGCCACAUCCGACGAGCAUCAGAGCCGGUGUAGUAGGAUUCAAUCUUAAUCCUGUUUUGAUGCUUUGCUUGUUUGACGGUUCGUCUGAGGGCAUAGCAGGAUUUCUUAUAGGCGUCCGGAUUAGUCUCCCGCUCCUUGAAAGCAGCAGCUCUAGCCUUUAGCUUGAUGCGGAUGUUUCCUGUAAUCCAGGGUUUGUGGUUGGGAUAUGUAUGUUCAGUCACUGUGGGGACAACGUCAUCAAUGCACUUGACUGAGGUGGUGUAUUCCUCAAUGCCAUUGGAUGAAUCCCGGAACAUAUUCCAGUCUGUGGUAGCUAAACAGUCCUGUAGUGUAGCAUCCUCGUCAUCUGACCACUUCCGUAUUGAGCGAGUCACUGGUACUUCCUGCUUUAGUUUUUGCUUGUAAACAGGAAUCAGGAGGAUAGA